rnacentral:lncRNA from 1 species
AAUGAUAGUAGAUGAUGAGCACCUUUGAACCUUUGACCUUUUGAAUAUUUGUCUGUGUUUCAUAAAUUCAUAAAUUUGUUAAUUGCUCUUGAAUGAUUUUUUUUUUAGUCAUGCAAGCUAAUAAAAUAUUAUCUUAAUUUUUCAGCUGCAAGUGAUAGGUCUUUUGGAACUCAAUACUAACAACAAUGAAGAAAUUAAGCGAGAAGCUACUAACCUCAGAAAGUCCAGGUUCUUGCACGCCAUGGUCAAGCAGUAUAUUUGCUGAUUAGUUUCAGAUGUAUUCUGUGGAAUCUAUUCUUUAUCUACUUCCUUCCUAAUGGAAGUAGUGCAUGCUGUUCUAUGCCUAGAUAUGAUAGGGGAUGAAGGGGCUGUGUUUCAAUUUCUCCACAAAAAAAUGCCAAGAAAAACUAACACCAUAGAUUGAUUGUCGGAGGGCUUAGAUAAAAAGAUAACUUACAUCAGGAACUGGUAUUGUUGAAAACUUCUAACCAUUUUUUAUUCACUUGAACCUCCAUCCGAAUUAGACCUAUUCAUCGUCAUAAAGUUCAAAUUUUACUGUCUUCUUGUGAACUUAUCUUCUUGUGAACAAGAUCAGAAUGUCAGUCAAUGACUAGUUCAUUCAUCAUAUGUUACUAUCUAAAACUGAAAUGAUGAAAGUAUCGAGGCUCAACCAAUCAUCAAAUCUAAAUUUACUGCAGAAAAGAAUAGAAAAAAUUUGAGCAGAAAUUUUAUUUCUGUUAGCAGUAUACCAAUCACUGUUAAUUAUCAAACUGUACAUUCUAGAAAAAUAAAUAUUGUAUUUUUUGUAAAAAAAAAAAAAAAGAAGAAGAAGAAAUAAAUCAUCUUCAAAAGAAAUUACCUUGAAUCAAUCAAAAUCCUCAGAAAUAUUGAUAUGAAAGGAGGAUUUUAAGAUCCCAAUAUAAAACCUCAGUUCAUGUUUAAUAAAAGCUUAACAAAUUAGGAACUUUAGUUCCAAGAUCAUGAGUUAAAACGACAGAAAAAUAAUCAAAUCAUAUUUCUGGCUCUGAUUUUUCAGCUCUCGGGAAAUAUAAUAUUCAUUAGAUUUUUAAAAUUGAUAGAAAUCAAGUCCAGGUUUCAAAAGUAACUAGCAAGAAUUCAGUUCCAAAAAGUCCAUUUUUUUAAACACAAGUAAUUUGUUUAGUGUGAGUCUACGAUGACACUAUGUGAAGAGGACAGCAGUAAUUACUCAUUAAUAUGUGAUUUCCGAAUCGUUGAAGAAUUUUUUUUUUUUUUUUAAUAAUUGUUAGAGAAAUGAGUUGUCCCUCCAUGGCGCCCUAAACAUAUUAAUGAUCGAAACAUUUUCAAGCAAAUUAUUUAUCUUUACACACUUUUCCAUACUCCAAAUCUUUGAAGGAAUAUUCUUGCUUCAUCAGCGAGACCUAUUUUUUUAAGAAAAAUGUUUGAACUUUUGUACUUGUAAGCAUUUUUCUUUUUCUGUCAUUGCGUAAAUUCUAUCUAUAGGAGGUGAAACUGAAACAUUGUAGCAAUUCCUAAAAACUAAAGCUUCAUUUCCUUUCAUAGAUUCGUGGAUUUCGUGGAUUUCACCACUUAAAUGCACCGGUGGGAUUAAGUUAUGAAGGAACGGCACAAUGUGCUUUGCAGAUAAGUCUUCGAUUCAGUUAUGAAUCAGUUGGAUAGGAAGCACCCAAGUAUCUUUGUCAUUUGAGUUUUGGGAAAUACCUACUUAAUUUAUUUGGGAUCCCUCCUCAGUUUGGUGGUAUGAUAUAACAAAGAAAAUUUUGAGCUCUUGACUAUCAAGCCAAAACUGAGGGUUUAAGAAAUAACAUUGCUAGAAGUAGAAUAACACUUAUCUUAAGUUUGUGGCGGCUCAAAAUUUCUGCCCAUUUUUAUUUAUUUAUUUUUUUUAUAAAAAAAUUCAACAUUUUUUUAGACAAAAAAUUGAGUGUUUG